rnacentral:rRNA from 1 species
UACGUAGGGGGCAAGCGUUGUCCGGAUUUACUGGGCGUAAAGAGCGUGUAGGCGGCCACGCAGGUCCGUUUGUGAAAACUGGAGGCUCAACCUCCAGCUGUCGACGGAAACCGUAUGGCUAGAGUCCGGAAGAGGAGAGUGGAAUUCCUGGUGUAGCGGUGAAAAUGCGCAGAUAUCAGGAAGAACACCAAUGGCAAGGCAGCUCUCUGGGGACGGUACUGACGAGAGCGAAAGCGUGGGGAGCAAACAGG